rnacentral:tRNA from 1 species
GCGGAAGUAGUUCAGUGGUAGAAUACAACCUUGCCAAGGUUGGGGUCGCGGGUUCGACUCCCGUCUUCCGCU